UAACAAGUCUUAAUGGCUUUAUUCUAAAGACAACUAAGUGUUUAAGCAGUGACGGGACCACCAACAAGGUCUAUCGCGCUUCUCUCUAAGCCUUACGACCUACUUUCAGGCUGACCAACGUCCUCACCGGAGAUUAAUCGGUUCCGAUAAACACUUAAGCAGUAAAUAGAUACCCCAUACUUGCAUUAAAAACCCAUUAUAUGACAAGACAUAGUGACAUAAUUAAAGUUUAAGAUAAAGCAUACUGUAUUAAAUUAAUAUGUUCUUAUAUAAACAUAGGUUUGCUCAUGCUCUAGACAGAUUAUACGUUUAGCUGCUCAU
rnacentral:lncRNA from 1 species